UACGAAUGGGGCAAGCGUUGUUCGGAAUCACUGGGCUUAAAGCGUGCGUAGGCGGCUAUGCAAGUCAGAAGUGAAAUCCAGGGGCUUAACCUCUGAACUGCUUUUGAAACUGCAUAGCUAGAAUCCGGUAGAGGUCAGGAGAAUUCCUAGUGUAGAGGUGAAAUUCGCAGAUAUUAGGAGGAAUACCAGUGGCGUAGGCGCCUGACUGGGCCGGUAUUGACGCUGAGGCACGAAAGCGUGGGUAGCAAAC
rnacentral:rRNA from 1 species